rnacentral:rRNA from 1 species
UACGUAGGUGGCAAGCGUUGUCCGGAUUUAUUGGGUUUAAAGGGUGCGUAGGCGGCCCUGUAAGUCAGUGCUGAAAUAUCCCGGCUUAACCGGGAGGGUGGCAUUGAUACUGCAGGGCUUGAGUGAAGUCGAGGUAGGCGGAAUUGACGGUGUAGCGGUGAAAUGCUUAGAUAUCGUCAAGAACACCGAUAGUGUAGACAGCUUACUAGGCUUUAACUGACGCUGAGGCACGAAAGUGUGGGGAUCAAACAGGAUUAGAUACCCGCGUAGUCC